AUUGAACGCUGGCGGAAUGCUUUACACAUGCAAGUCGAACGGCAGCACGGGGGCAACCCUGGUGGCGAGUGGCGAACGGGUGAGUAAUACAUCGGAACGUGCCCGGUCGUGGGGGAUAACGUAGCGAAAGUUACGCUAAUACCGCAUACGAUCUGAGGAUGAAAGCGGGGGACCUUCGGGCCUCGCGCGAUCGGAGCGGCCGACGUCAGAUUAGGUAGUUGGUGGGGUAAAGGCCUACCAAGCCGACGAUCUGUAGCUGGUCUGAGAGGACGACCAGCCACACUGGGACUGAGACACGGCCCAGACUCCUACGGGAGGCAGCAGUGGGGAAUUUUGGACAAUGGACGCAAGCCUGAUCCAGCCAUUCCGCGUGCAGGACGAAGGCCUUCGGGUUGUAAACUGCUUUUGUAUGGAACGAAAAGGCUCUGGCUAAUACCUGGGGCUCAUGACGGCACCGUAAGAAUAAGCACCGGCUAACUACGUG
rnacentral:rRNA from 1 species